UGCGGACAGGGAAGAACGCAGCCGGCAUGGAAGCCGGUCAGGACACCGCCGGAGGCGGCUCACCAGGAAGGUGAUAGGGAACAAAGAGUGGCGGGGGUCAUACCCCGCCCUUUUUU
rnacentral:sRNA from 1 species